UACGUAGGUGGCGAGCGUUGUCCGGAUUUACUGGGCGUAAAGGGCGUGCAGGCGGUUUGUUAAGUGCAGAGUGAAAGCUCCCGGCUCAACUGGGAGAGGUCUUUGCAUACUGGCAAACUCGAGGGAGGCAGAGGAAAGUGGAAUUCCCGGUGUAGUGGUGAUAUGCGUAGAUAUCGGGAGGAACACCUGUGGCGAAGGCGGCUUUCUGGGCCUUAACUGACGCUGAGACGCGAAAGCGUGGGGAGCGAGCCGG
rnacentral:rRNA from 1 species